UUCGACCGUUCUUGUGACUGAAACCGACACCCAUUUUAUUGCCUUUGAAAUUUGAAUAUCGCUGGUGUUGAGUCACCAUUUCGUUAACCUUAUAACCAACAAAUUAUUAUUGAGAUUCAAUAUUUCAAUCAUGGGUCAUAAUUCCAAAAUCUCUAUAUCACGCUAACGAACCUCUACAGUCACUCGUCUCUCUAUGUCACACUCUUUUUACACGACGAUCAAAAAGUCGCACCACCAUUGUUCCCACAUUGUUUCUAAUCGCGUUGUAUUUGUGGAUUGAGGUAACAAAUCGAGGGGACUAUCUAUUGUUUGUAUACGAAAUAGUCAAUUAUUUAAAAGAAGUUCAGUUAGUUUAGGAAGUCUGAAAUCAUAUUGAACGGUUUGGUUUACGGUUUACACUUGAAAAUGGUCGGAAAACUGGACCGGACCGUGCGACUUCCGGUCAAUAUUUAAUUAGCUUUUAUAUAGGUUGUAUGAUUUUCUUUAGCUUUUAUAUAAGCUGUAUAAAUUUUUAGUUUUUAUUUGGGCCUGGAUGUAUCAAGUGGGCUCUACAAACUAUGUGGGCUUUGCAUUCUUCAAUA